GAUGAAGAACGUAGCGAAAUGCGAUACGUAAUGUGAAUUGCAGAAUUCAGUGAAUCAUCGAAUCUUUGAACGCAUAUUGCGCUCUCUGGUAUUCCGGAGAGCAUGCUUGUUUGAGUAUCAGUAAACACCUCAACUUCCAUAUCUUUUUUGAAAUGGGAGUUGGACUUGAGUGAUCCCAACGCUUUUCCUCACCGAAAAGUGGCGGGUUACUUGAAAUGCAGGUGCAGCUGGACUUUUCUCUGAGCUAUAAGCAUAUCUAUUUAGUCUGCCUAAAAAACAGAUUAUUACCUUUGCUGCAGCUAACAUAAAGGAGAUUAGUUCUUGUGCUGACUGAUGCGGGAUUCACAAAGACAGGCUUCGGCCGACUUUGUAAACUCGAUCUCAAAUCAAGUAAGACUACCCGCUGAACUUAAGCAUAUCAAUAAGCGGAGGA
rnacentral:misc_RNA from 1 species